GACGAACGCUGGCGGCGUGCCUAAUACAUGCAAGUAGAACGCUGAAGGAGGAGCUUGCUUCUCUGGAUGAGUUGCGAACGGGUGAGUAACGCGUAGGUAACCUGCCUGGUAGCGGGGGAUAACUAUUGGAAACGAUAGCUAAUACCGCAUAAUAGUAGAUGUUGCAUGACAUUUGCUUAAAAGGUGCAAUUGCAUCACUACCAGAUGGACCUGCGUUGUAUUAGCUAGUUGGUGGGGUAACGGCUCACCAAGGCGACGAUACAUAGCCGACCUGAGAGGGGGAUCGGCCACCCUGGGACUGAGACCAGGCCCAAACUCCUACCGGAGGCAGCCGUAGGGAAUCUUCGGCAAUGGACGGAAGUCUGACCGAGCAACGCCGCGUGAGUGAAGAAGGUUUUCGGAUCGUAAAGCUCGGUUGUAAGAGAAGAACGAGUGUGAGAGUGGAAAGUUCACACUGUGACGGUAUCUUACCAGAAAGAGACGGCUAACUACGUG
rnacentral:rRNA from 1 species